UAAAUAAUUUCGAAUUAUUUCCUUUUUUCUUCUAGAAACUACAAAAUAGAUAUAUUUGAACAUGAAUAGGACAAGCACAUUUCCAAAAUCAUAUAAUUUCUGCUUUGUAAAUUCUAUUAAAUCAUAUCCCAAUCGUAGUAUAAGCCAGAGACGCCGGCUAAUUUUAUCUCGAGAUUUUGUUUGGCGUCGCAGGGAUUGCACGCGCGUUGGUCAGUACAUAUGCAUUUAUAAGCAGGCACAUCUAUAUUAUGUUUUGAACUAUGUGCCAGUAAAACUCACGGAUUUAAUCUUUAUUAAGAAAAGUAAAGAUAUAAAUAACGUAAAGCCCGCCAGCGGCUUACCAUAAAUAAUUCAAGGGGAAUCUUUGCUUAUCUCUUCAAUGGUGCGGUAUUGUCUCUACUGGGCCACUGGCAUCGGACCACUAUUACUAGCACAAUGAAAAAAUGGGGAUUCGGGCGAGUCACUGAGCCCGAUAAGAUAGCGUGGCUCUAACCCAUUUGUAUUAUUGCCUGCCUCCACUACUACGAGUCCUACGACUCGUCUUAUAGGGCAAUAAAUAAGUUGCCAUUCGUCAAUUUAAUUAAAAUGAUAAACUUAAUAUUGUUUAGAAGUAAAGAUACUUGAAAAAUUUUGUACUACGUGUUACUUAAUGUCUAUCUGACAAACAUAGCCUUUUGUGAUUGUAUUCGUGAUUGGUGCAUGCAAUUGUUUCUUUAAUUUUAACAAAAUAAGCUACUAUUAUAUAACUCCUUUGCGGUUAUAGAUUACUCCUACUAUUUACAUUAUAAUGUAUACGGAAGAAAACAUACAUAGAAAAAAACAACACAACAUUAAACAGUAAUAUUUACAAAUGUUACAAAAAGACGAACUAUAUCUACCGUAUAGGAACUGACAUGAAGCAGACUUUUUGACAGUUCACUCAAUGGAAAGUUAAAAACGUUUGUUAAUCAGUUAUAAUAUAACAAUAAUAAUAUUUUCUCUUAGUCUCCAUUAAGCAGUGAUUUAAAAUGCUUAUCUGUCCCUCUAUUCGCCGAAUAACACGUCUCAAUUGAAUCGUGAGUAGUGGCAGAAGAAAUAUCACACGAGUACGGAAGGUCCGCGGUUAAGACAUUACUCAGAUUAAUUUGGGUCCGUAAUGAACCGACCGUAAGUGCCACAUGCUACGUUUACUUAUAUUCGAUUUUAUUGGACUUAAUAUUUUUUUUAUGCACCUAUAUUGAAUAGAAAGUAUAAACAUAGUUAAAAUCAUUUUAAAUCUAUUUGACUUUUAACGUUUAUUACAGUGUGUUAUUUUUUCUACAAGAAAUGCAGUCGUAGCAGAGCGAUGAAUGAAUAGAUAUGAGGCGUAGAACACACUUGUGCAAAAAUCAUUGAGAACGUAAAUGAGUUAAAGACAUUUCAAGAACAAUACGUCAAUCUCGUUAUACAAGCGGAGGUUAAAGGGGGUGGAGAGGAGGGGAGGGGUGUCGUGAGGAAAUAUUCGAUUGGGAAGUUGUUUCCCGACGAAUUGUGAAAACUCGGAAAUUGAGUAAUAGGGCGGCGUUGUUUUGUUUACCACCGUUUGCUUAAUAAUGUGCUUUUUAUUACAUUGGAAGACCUCGCGCAGAAACUUAUUUGGUGACCAAUUAAGAUGUCGGAUUGUUGCCACGUUUGGAUUCAAUAACAUAUUAUAUUUAACUACGUAUAUCUUUUUUAUGUAACAGGAGGCAAACUGGCAGGUGACUCAUCUGAUGUAAAGUGAUACCGCCGUUCAUGAAUACUAACAUUGCCAGAAGGCUCGCAAAUACGUUACCGGCCUUUAGAGAAUUGGUAUACUAUUUUCUUGCUAGAACGAAUUGGUUCGGAAAUACAUCAGUAUGUCAUA